GAUUCUGGCUCAGGAUGAACGCUAGCGACAGGCUUAACACAUGCAAGUCGAGGGGCAGCAUAAAAGUAGCAAUACUUGGUGGCGACCGGCGCACGGGUGAGUAACGCGUAUGCAACCUACCUAUCAGAGGGGAAUAACCCGGCGAAAGUCGGACUAAUACCGCAUAAAACAGGGGCACCGCAUGGUGAUAUUUGCUAAAGAAAUUCGCUGAUAGAUGGGCAUGCGUUCCAUUAGGUAGUUGGUGAGGUAACGGCUCACCAAGCCGACGAUGGAUAGGGGAACUGAGAGGUUGGUCCCCCACACUGGUACUGAGACACGGACCAGACUCCUACGGGAGGCAGCAGUGAGGAAUAUUGGUCAAUGGGCGGGAGCCUGAACCAGCCAAGUCGCGUGAAAGGAAGAAGGAUCUAUGGUUCGUAAACUUCUUUUGCAGGGGAAUAAAGUGCAGGACGUGUCCUGUUUUGUAUGUACCCUGAGAAUAAGGAUCGGCUAACUCCGUGCCAGCCGCAGC
rnacentral:rRNA from 1 species